GGCUAAGGCUGAACUGGCACUUGUUGGAACGAACCAAUUUUUUUAAAGUAAGAUUUUGGUUAAGUUUUACUUAAAAAAAUCUUACUUUAAAAUUAGCUUACUUGUCUAAAGUUUAAAGGAGGUUAAGUUUACUUAAACUUACUUGGCUAAACGAUAAAGGAGGUUGGCACACAAAUAAGAAGCUUUAAAGCUAUAUAAUUCUAACGAUAUAUUUAUUAUGAAAAUAUAUUUUAUUGCGUCUUGACAAAUCACGUGCCAGCAGUCGCGGCAAUACGUGAGAGACUUAGUGUUAUUCAUAUCAAAUAGGUUUAAAGGGUACGUAGGCGGUAAAAAUUAGGUAUAAUAUAAUGNUAUACUAAUUUAACUAGAGUUUUAUAUGUAAGGGGAUCGUACUAAAAGUGGAGAGUCGAUAUUUUUUGAUACUUAUCUAAAUGGACUGGUAUAGGCGUAAAGCAAUCUUUUAAGUAUAAACUGACGCUGAGGGACGAAGGCGCGUAGAAUGAAUAGGAUUAGAUACCCUAGUAAUCGUAGCAGAGAAUGAUGAAUGUCAUAGGUCGGCUCCCGAAGGGAAUUGGACUAUAAAUGAAAAUGUAAGCAUUCCACCUCAAGAGUAAUGUGGCAACGCAGGAACUGAAAUCACUAGGCCGUUUCUAACAUCAGCAGUGAAGUAUGUUGUUUAAUUCGAUGAUCCACGAACAAUCUUACCACAAUUUGAAUAUUGAAUAUUAUAUAUUAUCUGAUAAAUAAUAUAGUAAUAUUGUAUUGUUGCUUUUUUAAAAAGUUUGUUUUUUAUUAAAAAGCUAAAUUAAACAAAAAAAGAUUCCUUUUUUUGUUUAAUUUUGAUAAACAUACAUGAGAGUGGGCAAUUAUAUUAUGUGAAUAGUAUAAUUGUUCAUGAGUAUAAAGAAAAAAUGAGCACAUUGCCGGUAUUGACCAUUUUAGGUCUAAGACCUAGCCACGGCAAUGGGUAGUUAUACCCUUUGGUAUAUUAUACUCCAUGUACCUUUAAUUGAUUUUAAAGUAAUACAAGUGUUGCACGGCUGUCUCAAGGUAAUGCUGUGAAGUUCUGGUUUCGAUCAGUAAUUAUCAAAAACCCUGACUUUAUUUGGAAAUAUUUUAAAGUAGUAUCUAUCAGUACAACUGGGUAGAAUAAUAGGGACUAUGACAAGUCAUCA
rnacentral:rRNA from 1 species